ACAACAACUAGACAACCAAACUUCAAACCAAAGCCAUAUCAAAUCAACGCAGGACAAUGAGCUAGAAUACCAGACAAGACAUAAACACCAAGGACAAGGAAACGAGAAGAACAGCUGGGCAGAGUUCAUCACAGAGGGACCUGGACUGUUGGAGCUGGAGUUUGAGAGCUUUUGGAGGACUUCUGAAAAGGCUGUUAGCACAUCCGAAAGUAAGGUUUUAUCUCUUUUUAUCACUUUCUCUUGAAUGCCAGCCAUUUAAUUAUUAUUUCUUUAAAAAUAUGUUUGCUCAAGUUUUAAAGGGAUAAUUGGCAUCAUGACAAGGAGUGACAGUGUAUGCUACUUCACUGGUGACAAAUCUUAACCAUUUGGGAAUGCAUUGACAGAUAGAAUUUAAGAUUAUUUCCAGCCACCAACUGUUGGAGGUACCGAAAGAGGUUUCACAUUUUUUUUUUAAUUGUGACACAAUUUAGAACAAAACGGCUGUCUAAUGUAAUGUUUUAGUGGCAGUAAGACUAACAAUAAUCCGCAUUUUUAAGUCUGAGGGAGGGAGAGCGCACCUGUCAGCGCAGCAGCGCUGGCUCUUGGGCUUUCAGAGCCACGUUCCGCCGAUCCACCUUUACGGAUUUUUAAACAUGCUUAGAUUUUAAGGCUACUUUAAUUUCAAUGGUUGCAAAGGGUUUACAAUGUUAAUGUAUCCCUCUGAGAUCUGACAAUGUUUUUCUUUCCUUAUUUUCUCGAUUUCAGUGUGUGUCUCUGUGUCUGACAACUCUUAACCAUUUGGCAAUUUUAUUUAUUUAUUUUUAUUCUGAACAGGGCUUUAAUUUAAAUUCAACACAUAAUUUAGAAUAAAACCGCUGUCUAUUGUAGUGUUUUACAGGUGGCUAUACUAAAAAUAAUCAUGAUUUUUAAGUCUGGGAGAGGGAGAAGAGGGCAAGGCUGCCUUUCAGCGCAACAGGCUCCCUGGCUGUUUCUUUCCUUUUUUGCUGUCCAGUGUGCUGCAAAGUGUACAACGCCAUGUCUAACCACUUACGAAACGGCCACAGUGUGGCCAACCCAGAGGAGAGGAGUCUCCUUCUAAAUCUGGCGACCAGGAGGGUCAAUGUUAGGCUUUGUGCCUGUCCGGUCUCUGGGUGCUCGUACAAGAGCACCCGACUGGACAGGCACCUCCUGGGAAGCCACCCUGAGCUGGCACCGGAGGAGGUGAAGGCACACAUGGAGGCUGUCAGGAGGAGAAAGACCCUGACGUCGCUGGCGGCCUUCAGGGCAACCAACCCCACGCCUCCCAUGGCCCUGGACCUGGAGCUAUAGGAAGAGGGGGACAACGAGGUCCAAGUCCCUGAGGAUGUGCAGGAGGAGGAGGAGGAGAUGUGCUCCAAACCAGACUGCGUGCUGCAUAGACAGGCAUUAAGGACAAUGCAGCAGAAGAACAAAGACUUGGAGCAGGAGCUUGGCGACCUCAGGAGCCAAUUUAAGAAGCUCCAGAAGAGGGCCAGGCGAUUGCCAAGCAGCAGGGGCGGUGGAGGCGGCGGCUUCUGCAGCAUCUUCUGCGGUACCGUCUUCAGGAGGUAUGUCAGCACCGGCGGCAGCAGCAGCACCAGCUGCGGCAGCAGCAGUGAAGGAGGAGGAGGAGCCCUGUGACCAGCAAUCCUGGGAGGUCGGUGAUGAGGAAACUCUUUCAGGGGAGCGGCCGGACCCUUGGGAUGAGGAACCUUGUUUUCCCCAGCUCAAUUGACAAAUACCUCAAAUACCUGCUGGAAGCUGGCCAAAUCAAAGGUUCCUGAGCUGCUGGAUGAACUGAAGGAGGACAACACCCAGCAGCUCCGGUAUAGAUUUUACGGCUACUUUUCAGCCUUUGUGGCCUGCCUCUACGGUCACCGCCCGGGGGUCCUUACAAACAUGAAGGUGGCAGAGGUGCAGGCUGCUCGAAAAGACAGCAAGGACGGGGAUGAUGGUUUUGUGGUUUGUGUAGGUAUGAUGUUUUUGACUGAUGAAUGUUGGUCAUUCUCUGAUAUUUUCACAUUCUGCAUACUUUUGAGAAGAGGAUCGGGCUCGUUUGGACCGCACCUCCUCCAGAAAGAGAGCCAGGAAGGAAUCCACCGACUCCAGUUCAGAGGAGGAAGGUGAGGUCCCGUACCAGGAAUCUGAAGGUUCCAGCCUGGAGCAGGAGCUUGAGGAGAUGCGGCAGAGGAAGGCCGGAGCCGAAGGCCCACCUACACUGCCCCUACAACAGACGCCUAAGAAAUCAAACAGCCGGAACCGCUAUCGGAGGCUUAUUGUAAGCCUCAGCCCAGUUUGUGUUAAAAU